rnacentral:rRNA from 1 species
GAUGAACGCUGGCGGCGUGCCUAAUACAUGCAAGUCGAGCGAACGGACGAGAAGCUUGCUUCUCUGAUGUUAGCGGCGGACGGGUGAGUAACACGUGGAUAACCUACCUAUAAGACUGGGAUAACUUCGGGAAACCGUAGCUAAUACCGGAUAAUAUUUUGAACCGCAUGGUUCAAAAGUGAAAGACGGUCUUGCUGUCACUUAUAGAUGGAUCCGCGCUGCAUUAGCUAGUUGGUAAGGUAACGGCUUACCAAGGCAACGAUGCAGAGCCGACCUGAGAGGAUGAUCAGCCAAACGGGGACGGAGAGACGGGCCAGACUCUUACGGGAGGCAGGAGUGGAGAAGUUUCAGCAAUGGGCGAAAGCAUGACGGAGUAAUGCCGAGGGGAGGUAGAAGGCCCACGGGUCGUGAACUGCUUUUCCCGGAGAAGAAGCAAUGACGGUAUCUGGGGAAUAAGCAGCGGCUAACUCUGUG